UACGUAGGGUGCAAGCGUUGUCCGGAAUUAUUGGGCGUAAAGAGCUCGUAGGCGGUUUGUCGCGUCUGCUGUGAAAGCCCGAGGCUCAACCUCGGGCUUGCAGUGGGUACGGGCAGACUAGAGUGCGGUAGGGGAGAUUGGAAUUCCUGGUGUAGCGGUGGAAUGCGCAGAUAUCAGGAGGAACACCGAUGGCGAAGGCAGAUCUCUGGGCCGUAACUGACGCUGAGGAGCGAAAGCAUGGGGAGCAAACAGG
rnacentral:rRNA from 1 species